CGCUAAAAUACGUAAAGGACUCAAAUCAGACACGUGGGUGUGAAAAAACAGGCUAACAAUCGCCAUUACAAUUACAAAUACAAUAAGCAGUGGCAUAGUAAUGAAUUAAAAAUCUUAGUGUGAAUAAAACUCUCAUACAUUAUCGAAAGGAUUUCAUUCAAAUCAAAAGAUUAAAUCGCCUAAUUGCAUGAUUAAUGACCCCGAAAGGACCAGCGUAAAUUGAAGCCCAAGGAAUGCCCCAAAUCGGUCAACCUGUGAGUUUGAGUCCUGCGUGAGUGUUGGUAGACUAAAGGAUGGCAGCGUCCAGCUCAAUUAUGGAAACCGUCACCAUUUUGGCCCUGCUCCUUGGCCUAUUUAUCCGGAGUGGCUACUGCAUAGACUGCUUCAAGUGCGUGUCCUAUAAUGGAGCGAAUAAAGCCUGCGACGAUCCGUUCCACAACAACUACUCCACGGCCAUUCUCGAGUCGCCCUGCAUGGGAGGACGAAAGGGCCGUGAUGGCCUGUUUCCGGCCACCGCCUGCAUCAAGAUCGCCGGCUAUUACGAUGAAACCGGAGAGACGAUAACGGUGAGGGGUUGCGCCCUGGACAGCGGCACCCUGACCACCGACACCGAAAUAAUAAGGAUGUCGCAUUGCGGAAAGUUCUACUACGAUGAUAAGUACGUGCACGGAUGUCUGCAGAGCUGCAGCGACGCGGAUGCCUGCAACUCGGCCAAGAGGCAUGGCCACCAUGCCGCGGACCUGGAGUCGUUCAUGCGGCACCUGCUCAGCCUGGCUGUGCUUUCCUUGGCCGUCGCGAGGUAGCAGUAUCAGUAAGCGGAGGAAUUUCUCGAAGGGAACAGGGAAAUGCGGCAAACGAAUGUCUAAGAUUGCACCUACAAUAAUGCACAAGAGCAACUUCAAAAGCAGCAAGGACACGCGGACACUCGGACACAACACAACCACACACUCUAAAUCAAACACACACACACAUAACAUUAUGGAAUUCAUCAAGCAAUUAUGUGAUUUAUAAAUGAAUAUUUAACAACUAUCUAACAAUAAUUGAUGAACACGAACGGAAACUAUUUAGAUGCUAAGCAUUCGAGAGUCGAAAAUCAAAGGAACAACACACUGCAAACUAAAUUCAAAUUCUAACUGCAAUUAUUUUUAGACUCUAAGAACGAACCUAGACUUUAAAUGCUGUCGCUGCUAAGUUUCGAUGGAACAAUAUUAUAAAUUAACGAAAGCGAAAUGUUUUACGAUUUAUAUGAGAUCUGUUUUACCUUAACUCGAAUAAGUAUGAAUUUUUCGCCUCUCUAGAUGAGUAUUGUACAUAUACAAGAGAAUAUUUAUCUAUUUGUUACAUAAAUGCUGAAUUUUGGGCAAAUUAUAAAAUUAAAAGUAAUUGUGUGUAAAUGAAUUAGUAUGUAAAAUUAGCAAACGAAAACUGUGAGUCAGGGUCAGUCCUUUAUUCGUUUUAUUUUUGCUAUUUUUUACACCAAGGAGUCAUGCAACAAAAAGAUUAUUUUAUUUAUCUGGAACUAUUUUCUGAAGUGGUUUCCUGACUAACUGUUUUCUUCCAAAGAAAAUAGUUCUGAUUACUUAAAAAUACAC
rnacentral:misc_RNA from 1 species